GAUGAACGCUAGCUACGGGCUUAACACAUGCAAGUCGAGGGGUAACGAGAGGAAAGCUUGCUUUCCUUGUCGACGACCGGCGCACGGGUGAGUAACGCGUAUCCAACCUGCCCCCAACUAAGGAAUAACCUUGCGAAAGUAAGACUAAUACCUUAUAAUCUCCUCAGAUGUCAUCUGACGAGGAAUAAAGAUUUAUCGGUUGUGGAUGGGGAUGCGUCUGAUUAGCUUGUUGGCGGGGUAACGGCCCACCAAGGCAACGAUCAGUAGGGGUUCUGAGAGGAAGGUCCCCCACAUUGGAACUGAGACACGGUCCAAACUCCUACGGGAGGCAGCAGUGAGGAAUAUUGGUCAAUGGGCGAAAGCCUGAACCAGCCAAGUAGCGUGCAGGAUGACGGCCCUAUGGGUUGUAAACUGCUUUUAUACAGGAAUAAAGUUAGCCACGUGUGGUUAUUUGUAGGUACUGUAUGAAUAAGGACCGGCUAAUUCCGUGCCAGCCGCCGCGGUAA
rnacentral:rRNA from 1 species